rnacentral:rRNA from 1 species
UACGUAGGGUGCGAGCGUAAUCGGAAUUACUGGGCGUAAAGCGUGCGCAGGCGGUGAUGUAAGACCGAUGUGAAAUCCCCGGGCUUAACCUGGGAACUGCAUUGGUGACUGCAUCGCUCGAGUAUGGCAGAGGGGGGUAGAAUUCCACGUGUAGCAGUGAAAUGCGUAGAGAUGUGGAGGAAUACCGAAUGGCGAAAGCAGCCGUCCUGGGCCAACACUGACGCUCAUGCACGAAAGCGUGGGGAGCAAACAGG